UUUAAUAAUAGAUCACAACAUUUGUUUCUGCACCAUAGACAAGCUUUGAGUUGCUGAGUUUAUAUUCAUAUACCAUUAUAGAAGAUCAUUCAUUAUAAUUACGAUAGAGUUGCAUGUUUUUCCGCUACAUUGUAUUCCACCUGAUGAAGUGCCUCCUCUUAAAAGAGUCCCAUUAUAAAGUACAACCCAUUUGUUGUUUGGUUUCCCAUUCCUAUGAGAUUCGACUCCUCCCAUUUCAAUUAUCUCCGUCUGAAAUAAAAUAGUAAUUUUCCCCUUUAAGCGAAAGAAAAAAAAUCAAGUAUCUGUGAUUAUAAAAUAUCCCAUAAAAAUACGGUGAUAAUUUCUAUCUUUCAGUCCAUGGCGCUCUGAAAGUUGCAUAAAUGAUUAAGGGGAUAAAAAGGAAAGUAAGAAAAA